CUGAGCCAGGAUCAAACUCUACCGUACGUAUAUACGACCGUACCGCAAACCGACACUGGUGCGCGAGAUGAGUAUUCUAAGGCGCUUGAGAGAACUCAGGAGAAGGAACUCGGCAAAUUGACACCGUAACUUCGGAAGAAGGUGUGCCCUAUUAGUGUGUAGUGAACAACGAAGCAUGAAUGGGUUGCAAAAAAUCGGUGGCUGCGACUGUUUAUUAAAAACACAGCACUCUGCAAACACGAAAGUGGACGUAUAGGGUGUGACGCCUGCCCGGUGCUGGAAGAUUAAAUGAUGGGGUGCAAGCUCUUGAUUGAAGUCCCAGUAAACGGCGGCCGUAACCAUAACGGUCCUAAGGUAGCGAAAUUCCUUGUCGGGUAAGUUCCGACCUGCACGAAUGGCGUAACGAUGGCCACACUGUCUCCUCCUGAGACUCAGCGAAGUUGAAAUGUUUGUGAUGAUGCAAUCUCCCCGCGGAAAGACGGAAAGACCCCAUGAACCUUUACUGUAGCUUUGUAUUGGACUUUGAACAGAUCUGUGUAGGAUAGGUGGGAGGCUUUGAAGCAGGGUCGCUAGAUCUUGUGGAGCCAACGUUGAAAUACCACCCUGGUGUGUUUGAGGUUCUAACCUAGGUCCAUUAUCUGGAUCGGGGACAGUGCAUGGUAGGCAGUUUGACUGGGGCGGCCUCCUCCCAAAGCGUAACGGAGGAGUUCGAAGGUACGCUAGUUACGGUCGGACAUCGUGACGAUAGUGCAAUGGCAUAAGCGUGCUUAACUGCGAGACUGACAAGUCGAGCAGAUGCGAAAGCAGGACAUAGUGAUCCGGUGGUUCUGUAUGGAAGGGCCAUCGCUCAACGGAUAAAAGGUACUCUGGGGAUAACAGGCUGAUACCGCCCAAGAGUUCAUAUCGACGGCGGUGUUUGGCACCUCGAUGUCGGCUCAUCUCAUCCUGGGGCUGUAGCCGGUCCCAAGGGUAUGGCUGUUCGCCAUUUAAAGAGGUACGUGAGCUGGGUUUAAAACGUCGUGAGACAGUUUGGUCCCUAUCUUCCGUGGGCGCUGCAGAUUUGAGGAAGCCUGCUCCUAGUACGAGAGGACCGGAGUGGACACACCUCUGGUGUAUCGGUUGUCACGCCAGUGGCAUUGCCGAGUAGCUAAGUGUGGAAGAGAUAACCGCUGAAAGCAUCUAAGCGGGAAACUCGUUUCAAGAUGAGAUCUGCCGGGGCCUUGAGCCCCCCUAAGAGUCGUUCAAGACCAGGACGUUGAUAGGUCAGGUGUGGAAGCCAAAAA
rnacentral:rRNA from 1 species